CUGGAAGAAAAAAUCUGGCCCAGAGUUCCAUGAACAAUUCAUUCUUCAACCAAAGACUGGCUCUUUUCUCUGGGAUGGCCAUCAUCUUCAGCCAAGGGUGUGGCAUAGGUGAGAUGAGAUGGGAAAUGGCACUGUCCAGCUGGUUGGACGGGCCUGGUCCAUGGGGAGUGACAGAUGUCCGAGCCAGAGACCCAACAUCUGAAAGAAAGUCUGUGGCUGCGAAGAUCAAUGCAUCUGAACAUUAUUCAGCGGUACCACCACCUCUUUGAACCCUGUGCAAAGCACCCAUCAAGACUGAAAAAUAUCAUGAAGAGAAAUAGUGAUUCACUUGGAAAAAAAAUUCAGUCUGCCCCUUCUCAAGACACGUGCUACUGUCCAAGAGCUACUCUACUGUGGUCCAUGGAUUAUUUUUACUUAUCAAAAUUUUGAAC
rnacentral:lncRNA from 1 species